rnacentral:tRNA from 4 species
GCCCAGGUGGCGGAAUUGGUAGACGCGCACGACUCAAACUCGUGUUCCCCUGGAGUGCGGGUUCGAUUCCCGCCCUGGGCACAA